rnacentral:tRNA from 1 species
GGGGAUGUGGCUCAAGUGGUAGAGCGCUUGCCUAGCAUGCAUGAGGAACUGGGUUCGAUUCUCAGCACCCCA